UACGUAGGGGGCAAGCGUUGUCCGGAAUCAUUGGGCGUAAAGAGCGUGUAGGCGGCCCGAUAAGUCCGCUGUGAAAGUCCAGGGCUCAACCCUGGAAUGCCAGUGGAAACUGUCGGGCUGGAAUCCGGAAGAGGCGAGUGGAAUUCCUGGUGUAGCGGUGAAAUGCGCAGAUAUCAGGAGGAACACCAAUGGCGAAGGCAGCUCGCUGGGACGGUACUGACGCUGAGACGCGAAAGCGUGGGGAGCAAACAGG
rnacentral:rRNA from 1 species